UGAUUUAUUGUGAGACUUUAAUUUUGUUCUGGGGAUUAUUGUGCUGUUAUGGAAUUCAUGUAACUAGGUCCAGUUGUAAGCUUUGGACCCACUAUUCGUGGGUUCAACAGAUGUAGCUUGGGUUGCGUUAUGUGCUUCUGUGUUGGUCCAUCUCCAGUGUUGGUACAUGGAUGUGAGUUGUGAUCUGGUGGUCCAUUUUAAUAUUGCAAGUGGUUCAUUUUGAGUCAUUGUGAUCUAUCACUGCAAACUACUUUCAUGCAUGUGGCCGGCUUCUUAGAUGGAUGCUGUAACCUGCUACAAAUUCUUGAUAAACUGUAGGGAUGAUUUGAAUAAGUCUCCUUAAGAGAUGUUAGGGUUGCUUAGAUUUUGUUAGAAGUUUGAAUUAUUCUAAGUUGUUUUUAUUUCCAAGCUUUAGGGGAUUUUCUUGGCUAUCAGUUGCUGAGCUUUAGAAGCUGUAAUAAAUUAGGCAUGAUUUAAUCAGAGAACAUCUUAGUUGCACUAUGAUUCCAUGAUUUGCCAAUAGGAUAUGUACUUGGUCUUGGUGAAUGAUGAAAGAAUUAGAAUCUGGUUUACUUUGGUAUAAAUUGUCAGAAAAAGCAUAAAGAACCAUAAGUGGCUCCUAGUUUGUGCCCUUGUUUUGUAGUGUGCAACAUUUUCUACUAUAGAUUAAUAUUUAUUUGUUUAUUUGAGAUUUAUAUUAAGACACAUAAAAGAUGGUGGUUGGAUGAAGUACUUUGUUGAUUUAUUGUGAGACUUUAAUUUUGUUCUGGGGAUUAUUGUGCUGUUAUGGAAUUCAUGUAACUAGGUCCAGUUGUAAGCUUUGGAUCCACUAUUUAUGGGUUCAACAGAUGUAGCAUGGGUUGCGUUAUGUGCUUCAGUGUUGGUUCAUCUACAGUGUUCAUACAUGGAUGUGAGUUGUGAUUUGGUGGUCCAUUUUAAUAUUGCAAGUGGUUCAUUUUGAGUCAUUGUGAUCUAUCACUACAAACUACUUUCAUGCAUGUGGCCGGCUUCUUAGAUGGAUGCUGUAAGCUGCUACAAAUUAUUGAUAAACUGUAGGGAAGAUUUGAAUAAGUCUCCUUAAGAGAUGUUAGGUUUGCUUAGAUUUUGUUAGAAGUUUGAAUUAUUCUAAGUUGUUUUUAUUUCCAAGCCUUAGGGGAUUUUCUUGGCUAUCAGUUACUGAGUUUUAGAAGCUGUAAUAAAUUAGGCAUGAUUUAAUCAGAGAAAAUCUUAGUUGCACUGUGAUUCCAUGAUUUGCCAAUAGGAUAUGUGCUUGGUCUUGGUGAAUGAUGAAAGAAUUAGAAUCUGGUUUACUUUGAUAUAAAUUGUCAGAAAAAGCAUAAAGAACCAUUAGUGACUCCUAGUUUGUGCCCUUGUUUUGUAGUGUGCAACAUUUUCUACUAUAGAUUAAUAUUUAUUCGUUUCUUUGGGAUUUAUAUUAAAACACAUAAAAGAUGGUGGUUGGAUGAAGUACUUUUUUGAUUUGUGAGACUUCAAUUUUGUUCUGGGGAUUAUUGUGCUGUUAUGGAAUUUAUGUAACUAGGUCCAGUUGUAAGCUUUGGACCCACUAUUCGUGGGUUCAACAGACGUAGCUUGGGUUGCGUUAUGUGCUUCUCUGUUGCUCCACCUAAGUGUUGGUCCAUGGAUGUGAGUUGUCAUUUGGUGGUCCAUUUUAAUAUUGCAAGUGGUUCAUUUUGAGUCAUUGUGAUCUAUCACUACGAACUACUUUCAUGCAUGUGGCCAGCUUCUUGAAUGGAUGCUGUAAGCUGCUACAAAUUCUUGAUAAACUGUAGGGAUGAUUUGAAUAAGUCUCCUUAAGAGAUGUUAGGUUUGCUUAGAUUUUGUUAGAAGUUUGAA
rnacentral:lncRNA from 1 species